UACGGGGGGGGCAAGCGUUGUUCGGAAUUACUGGGCGUAAAGGGCUCGUAGGUGGCCAACUAAGUCAGACGUGAAAUCCCUCGGCUUAACCGGGGAACUGCGUCUGAUACUGGAUGGCUUGAGUUUGGGAGAGGGACGCGGAAUUCCAGGUGUAGCGGUGAAAUGCGUAGAUAUCUGGAGGAACACCGGUGGCGAAGGCGGCGUCCUGGACCAACACUGACACUGAUGAGCGAAAGCGUGGGGAGCAAACGGG
rnacentral:rRNA from 1 species